GCAGGUACUACUCCCUUCCCUAAUGAGCGGGAGGCACCGCUCUGGCUGGGAUUGGAUUUGCCAAUACUGACAGAAGCAGGGUUGCUAACACAGCACAUGGUCCUGCAGCAGAGGCACCCAGGUGGAUCAUGCUGGUGAGAUCGAGCUGGGAUAUGGUUCUUGUCCUUCACAAGCAAGAAGGUGCUUUGGGUAAGCAAACACGAUCCUGUGGCGAGGAGCUAGAGUUGAUCAGCAGGCAAUGCUCCAGGAAUGGUGCUGCUCCAAGCAGGGAGGCAGGAGGACUGUCCCAAGCAAACUGGCUGUUUCAGGUGAAGUCUUGGCGAGCAGAGCUUGGGGAGGUGGGAGCUGCACAGACAUGGCACCAGCCUGUGUGCCCUCGUCUCCAGCAGGCAAGGAUCUCUGUGGGUGUUUGUGUUUGCAGAAGUAACACUCUUGUCUUGCUCUUUCCUUUCAUGAGGGUGUGGGCAUUUGACUGAAAUGCAAUCCCAGGAAAGGCCAAGGAUUUUGGCUGUUGCUGCAGGCACAUAAGGAAGGUGUUACUGCCAAGUGCUCCCCUCCAUCCAGGCGAGAGGUGUUGCGGAGGUGGCUGGAGGCUGCAGGGACACACAGGGAGACGGGGGAACCCUUGGGCAAGGCAGGGUGGCAGCAGAGGAUCUGGGGGAGCUCUUUGCAGGUAGUUUGGCAUCACAACAGCACCCGUGGCCAGGCUGGCCUGGCCACCAACAUCUCCUUCUACCAGACUUGGAUGGCUGCAGCUGCCAGUCUCAUCACCAAAGCCCACGUGAGAUUUCCUGCCUGCAUCUCUUCCAAAAAAAGCAACUUCCAGCCCACGGGAGAAAACGGAGCGUAAUGGUAGAGACGCUGCGAUGAUGCAUCGUCUCACGGACACCCACCCACGUCUGCGGGAGCAGGGACCCGCCUGGGCAGCCCUGGACCCUGCUGCAGGGGAUGGGGCGUGCAGGGCAGCUGUGGCCAUCUGCUUCAUUGACACUGGGAGCUUUCAGAACCCCAUCAGUGGAGCAGGAGAGAGUGUGUGAUUGACAUCCCUCCAAAGGAGAUUGCUCCGAGAGACACCCCAAUAAAAGUUUGUAUGAAGCUCCUUGGGGACAGGCAGAGUUGGGGGGUCCUGUUCUCCAUGCACAGCUCAUGCCCGUGAAAUGCACUGAACUCCUCCAAGGCUGCCCCAGGGGUCAGUGAGGGGCUGGGGACCAGCGAGACUGUUUUGGGCUCUGGCCAUGUGCUGCCAGCAAGUGCAGAGUACCUCAAACACAGCAGCUGUGCACCCAGCAAAUGUGCUGGAGGGAGCCUGGGGGUGGACAGGGAAUUUGGGGAGGGCUCCCUCCCUGAGUUUCCUGCGGGGCAGGUUUGCAGGCAGAGGGGAGUAUCUCAGGGAGGUAACAAGGUGCUGACAAGAAGCGGUUUGUUUUUCCGGAUGGUGUUUCACAGCUCCCUGUGGAGCUGUCCGUGGGGACAGGGGAGCACCGAGGCAGGGGAGCACCCCACAGGGCCGAGGGCUGGUCUCGCUCACAGGAAAGAGCGCAGGAGUUGCUGGCUGUUGGUAUGAAUUCAGCCCGGCUCCGCCAUAAGGAAGUGAUUGAAGCUUUCACGAUCUGUUUAAGCAGUGACAUAUGUUUCCUGCAGGCGCGGCGUGCUGCAUGCCAGCGGAUGAGAUACGGCCCUGCGUCCCUGCCUGGCUCUGCCAGCACGGGGUAGGGCUGGCCCCAUCCCUACGGCCGCGUUUGAUACAGCCACAGCCGUCGCUGCCUGUGUGGGAAGGGGAAAUUGCUCACACGGCAAAGGGAAAUAAACAUGAGGUGACCAGCCCUGACAAAAAAAGCGUGUAUUUCUCUGGUCUGAGGCCCCUCUGCAGGCAGAGCCACAUGAUGCGCAGUGGGGCUGGGGAUGAAGGAGGGGAAGCUGGGGCUGCGGUGAUGUCUGCAAACUCCCUCUCACUUACAGGGAGUCCCUCCCUCCCUCCAGGUCUUAUCUCAGCUUUCAGCGCUGAGACAUCAGAGGGACCAACGCUGGGGAGUCGUGGGGUAUGGAAAAGGCCAAACUGCCCAAACCAUCGAGCCCAGGUACCGAGUGGGUGGACGGGGAAGUGAUGCCAGCCCCAGGGUCAGGCCACCAGCACUCCUCAUGCUUUGCCCAUGGCCACCCUGGCAGUUCAUGGUGAAACCAGGAUGAUUCAAGGGGGGCAAACCCAUCUCAGAGUGUUCCUGGUCCAGAGCAAUGGCUGUGGAUGAACCUGUCUCCAUCCCCGUGAACCAAGCCCUCUGAGCCUGAGACCGGAAUGCUUGAUGCACAUCAAGGGACAGAGACAACAACUGUUGGCUGUGCUCAAUGGUGCUUUGUUCUUGGCCCAGGAAGCAAUGAAAAUCCUCCUGCUUUGAAGCCUGAGGAGGCCUUUUUAUUAUAUCCAGGGCUUCUGGAAAAGGAAACUGCAAGUGCUUUCCCAUAACGUGAUAAAAAGCUCUCCUGGCUGAGACCACGGCAACUUCUUACACGUGAGAGCGGUGAGUCAGUGCAGCAUGAGGCUGGGCUCAGUGCUUGCCCAGCCACUGGAAAUCACUGAUUCUUGGUGUGUAUGUAACUGGGAUUCAAAAGAACCUUGGCGUGAGUCCUGUUGACCUUGCACUUCACCCCAGAGACCUGACAGCUGUGGUGCCUGGUCCAUGUAGUGCCUGGUCCAGUGGCCAUAAAGCAGUGAGGGUCAAGCAGACCCUGGGCCCUCUGUGCUGGUUGGGAAGCAUUGGGGAGGUGCAGGUCAUGCAGCAGAAGAGAGUUCACAAGUCUCCCAUGUCUGCACCUGAGAGCGGGCAGCUGUGGGCGAGUGCUGGGGUGCACGGUGGAAUCUCCUGUGCUCAUGCAGGGAUGCUCCUGGGUGAGGAGGUUGCCAGAGCACCUGUGGCUUCAGGAGGAGAGCCUGGAGUUGCUCCCCAUCCUUUCUCACAAGGCUGGGGCACAGUGGGUCCUCCUUGGCACAGCCCCCAGCCUGGCUGGGUAACUCCCAAGUGGUAAAGCUGGCCUAAUUAGUCUGUUUAAUCUUCUCCCAUAAAUCACUCCUCCCCAUCCCCUGCAGACUAUCGGCAGCAUCUGAUGUCAUUAGUUAAUUUAAACAUGGGAGUUCACACGUUGGCUUAUCGGAGCCAUCUCCUUUCCCCCCUAAGCGCUUGCUCGGUGCAUCCCUGGCUGCUGCUAGAUCCGAUCUGCGCCCGCUUUGAAGCCGUGAUGGGCUGCCAGCAGGCGAGGUGCUGCCUGCUUCCCUGCCUGCUUCCCUGCCUGCUGGCAGGUGGGAGGGGAGAUGGAGAUCCUGCUUCUCCCCUUCCCCGCGAUCCCUGUUUUCUGAACUUCUCCUCUGACUCAUCAAUUUGAUUUGAUGUUUUCACCUUUGUUUUACAAAUAGCAGUUUGGCCGAGUGCUGGAAGGAGAAGGCAGCUCCGAUGCUGCUGCAGCUUCCCCGGCUGCCAGGGGAAGUAAUAGAGUCUUAGAAUCAUCUGGGUUGGAAAAGAUCACCUGUAAGAUCAUCGAGUCAGAUCUUCAUGUGUUUGUUUACAAAAUGAAAGACGGCUGGGUGAGCCUGCUUUCUACUCCUCCGGCCUGCCUGCUGCAGCCCACAGGGGAUCUUUCAGUCUUGGGACAAUGCCUCCCUUCACGUCUCACGGGCACCCAAACAUUGCAUGAGUGGGGGACACAUCCGUGGGGCUGAUGUCCUGGGCAGGUGUUAAACCUGUGCCCUGGGUGUUGAGGAUGACAGGGGAAGGCACGGGUACAGCCCUGUGCACCGCCCAGGCACCACAGACCGUACAGCACACGGGGACGAGGGGCUCUGUCUGGGCGUGCUCGACUUGUCCCCUGUCCCCAGGCUGCCGCUCCCCUUCUGCUGUGGCCGGAAGACAUGAGCUCCCGAUUAAAGGAUAUUUCAACCAGACGCAGGGGCUGUGGCAGCCGGGGGAACGCGCAACAGGAGGGGACGGGGACAGGACGCGUGAGAGACCAGAGGAGAAGCUAAUUUACGCUGGAAUGUAAAUACAGCAGCAGCACGCUGCUCCGCAGGGCGCGUCACCCCCCUCCUGGCUCUGGAACACGGGUUAGAGCUGCCCAGGACAGCUCGGGCCACGUCCCUGCUGUGCCAGAACCCGCAUCUCACCUGGGCACUGUGCAGAGGUGAGGAGGAGGAGGAGGGUCAGGGGCUGUUGCAGCAGCCCAGUGCCACUGCUGCUGUUCUUUCUCUCUGCAUUGAGGUAGCACAGGUCACACAUCCACUGCAGAGGAACGGAGUCUUAGCCUUCCCAAAUAAUCCUAAGAAUCAAUAGCAGCGUCGUGGAUGUGCAGAACAACAGCUCCGAGUUGAGAGGGGAACUUCUCAGCAGGAUUAACUCAGAAACCCAGUGACAACACUCUAAGUAUCUGUGCUAUCUGUGUCCCUGCUGCUCAUUCUAGCAGAUAGUUCCUACUAAUGAGCUUUACUCAACAGCUCUAGAUUUGUCUGUAAGAGCAAACUCCAGGGAUCAAAAAAUAAGGUUUAGGAUGCAAAUAUUCUGCGAGAUAUCCAGAUUUUUUGUGGUUGUUCUUUAGUCCAGGGAAAAUUUUUAAAGGAAGCAAGGAGAGAUCCUCUAGAAUGUAAGACAGAGAAAACUUUUUAAAAUAAAAGACCAAAUAACGCAAAAUCGUG